rnacentral:rRNA from 1 species
UCGCUCUUCAACGAGGAAUCCCUAGUAAGCGCGAGUCAUUAGCUCGCGUUGAUUACGUCCCUGCCCUUUGUACACACCGCCCGUCGCUACUACCGAUUGAAUGGCUUAGUGAGACUUUCGGAUCGGUAUUGGGACACUGGCAACAGCGACCCUUUGCUGAGAAGUUGUUCAAACUUGGUCAUUUAGAGGAAGUAAAAGUCGUAACAAGGUUUCCGUAGGUGAACCUGCGGAAGGAUCAUUAAGAAAAUGAUAGACGGGGGACGGGGUCGCUUUGGCUGACUCUGUCCCUCGUGUAUUCAACCAACCCGCUCUUGUAUUUGCAUCAAAAUUUCAUUUUUUCAAUGAAAAAACAAAAUCAUUUUAAAUAAAUGUAAGAAUAAACUUUCAACAACGGAUCUCUUGGCUCUCGCAUCGAUGAAGAACGCAGCGAAAUGCGAUACGUAGUGUGAAUUGCAGAACUUUGUGAACCAUCGAAUCUUUGAACGCAAAUUGCGCCCUUGUUUAGAGGGCAUGUCUGUUUGAGGGCCACCUUAAUCAAAUAAUGCACGCGCAUGUGGUGCACGUUGAUGGACUUUCCGACGAAUCUACAUCUGUGGACGACGUCGGUGGUUCGUAAUGAAGACGCGACGUGUGGAGGCUUUCGAUCGAGUGUAGUAAACAUGCAAUGAUUUCGACGCUUGAUGGUUGGGAGUCUUCGGUCGCGAUACGGGCGUGGCGACGAACUGCCACUCUUCCCCUCGGGAAGACUACAUUUUUCUCGUGGGCCUCAAAUCAGACAAGAAUACCCGCUGAACUUAAGCAUAUCAAUAAGCGGAGGAAAAGAAACUAACAAGGAUUCCCCUAGUAACGGCGAGUGAAGCGGGAAAAGCUCAAAUUUUAAAUCUGACUGACGCGAUUUCAGUCCGAGUUGUAGUUUGAAGAAGCGCGUCGCGCUUGGAACGUCGACACAAGUCCUCUGGAACGAGUGCAUCAUAGAGGGUGAGAAUCCCGUCUUUGGUCUUUGUUCCUCGUGCACACGGCGCGCUUUCAAAGAGUCGAGUUGUUUGGGAUUGCAGCUCAAAACGGGUGGUAAACUCCAUCUAAGGCUAAAUAUAGGCGAGAGACCGAUAGCGAACAAGUACCGUGAGGGAAAGAUGAAAAGAACUUUGAAAAGAGAGUCAAACAGUACGUGAAAUUGUUGAAAGGGAAACGAUUGAAGUCAGUCGUGCCGGUGGGGAUUCAACCACUCGGACUCGUCCGGGUUGUGUAUUUUCUCGCAUGGCAGGUCAGCGUCAGUUUUGGUUGCCGCGAAAUGACUCUGGUAAGGUAGCUCCCUUCGGAGAGUGUUAUAGACCGGAGUAGAUGCGGUGGCCGGGACUGAGGAUUGCAGCAGACACCCUUCGGGGCGCUGUGGUCGGCCCCUGUUCGCGUACCCGUGUCCGACAGCGUGCUGACGGGCGUGGGAGCGCGCGGGCACUGGGUUGACACCACAUGCGGUUUUGCUUAGGACGCUGACGUAAUGGCUUUAAACGACCCGUCUUGAAACACGGACCAAGGAGUCUAACAUAUGUGCGAGUGUUU